rnacentral:misc_RNA from 1 species
GAAAUGCGAUAAGUAAUGUGAAUUGCAGAAUUCAGUGAAUCAUCGAAUCUUUGAACGCACAUUGCGCCCGCCAGCACUCUGGCGGGCAUGCCUGUUCGAGCGUCAUUUCAACCCUCAGAACCCCUUGCGGGAUCUGGCGUUGGGGAUUGGCAUCCAGCCAGCCCCGAAAUCUAGUGGCGGUCCCUCCGCGACCUCCCCUGUGCAGUAGCGAUACCUCGCAGCGGGACAGCGGUCUGACCACGCCGUAAAACCCCCAACUUCUCAAGGUAGACCUCGAAUCAGGUAGGAAUUCCCGCUGAACUUAAGC